rnacentral:rRNA from 1 species
CGCGUAGGCGGACUUAUAAGUCGAUUGUGAAAUCCCUGGGCUUAACCCGGGAAUUGCAGUCGAAACUGCAAGUCUUGAGUUCUCGAGAGGAUGGUGGAAUUCCUGGAGUAGUAGUGAAAUACGUAGAUAUCAGGAGGAACACCGGAGGCGAAGGCGGCCAUCUGGCGAGACACUGACGCUAAGGCGCGAAAGCGUGGGUAGCAAACA